GAUGAACGCUAGCGAUAGGCUUAACACAUGCAAGUCGAGGGGCAGCACAAGGUAGCUUGCUAUCUGGGUGGCGACCGGCGCACGGGUGCGUAACGCGUAUGCAACUUGCCCUAUACAGGAGGAUAACCCGUCGAAAGACGGACUAAUACUGCGUAUGCUCACAACUUGGCAUCAAGUGGUGAGUAAAGACAUUCGGUAUAGGAUAGGCAUGCGUCCCAUUAGCUUGUUGGUGAGGUAACGGCUCACCAAGGCAACGAUGGGUAGGGGAACUGAGAGGUUUAUCCCCUGCACUGGUACUGAGACACGGACCAGACUCCUACGGGAGGCAGCAGUGAGGAAUAUUGGUCAAUGGGCGCGAGCCUGAACCAGCCAAGUCGCGUGAAGGAUGACUGUCUUAUGGAUUGUAAACUUCUUUUAUACGGGAAUAACAAGAGUCACGUGUGACUCCCUGACUGUACCGUAUGAAUAAGCAUCGGCUAACUCCGUG
rnacentral:rRNA from 1 species